rnacentral:snRNA from 1 species
AUGGAUUAACGAGAUUCC